CGCACGCCCUACCUCCUCCCCCUCUCCGCGCUUCAUCGCUGACUUGCACACGGACCUCGCAAAAGCAAAGCACCACACGAAAGUGCCACAGAGGGAACACAGCUGCCGACGCGUUCUCGCCGUGGUCUCUCUUGCGCAUCACACAGGUCGACUCCACUUUCUUCUCGGCACCUCUUGAGCGACGCACUACAUCGCUUGCGCUAGCGAACCUCUCUCCCUCAGCAGUUUGACUGACAAGUAAACCACGUAGGAAAGCAUCCUAUAGCAGUCCAACACCUCUCUCUCUCUCUACGCACGCGCAGACACGCACACAGACAAACACCUUCACACCCGCGCACGCACGCUCUGCGAGAUAUUCCGCAGCCUUGCUCCCUUCGCUUCAGUUUUUUAAUUCAUUUCGACGCUCCUUUAUGUGAAUUUUGUUCUCUCUCUGUGCCUUGUGCGUAUCUCCCUGUCUGUCUGCGUCUCGGACCGCCCCCUCUCGUCUGCCCGCUUUCCUGCGACGGUCGCCUGCCACAGAUCAGCCUUUUGGGCCCUCGCUUCGUCAAUAUUUGGACUUUCAUAUUACGUCCUCUUUUUCCCUCUGGUUGCUUUCUCGACGACCUUUUAUUUGCGUGUGCGUGUUUGUGGUGCGCCUCCGCCUCCGCCCCUGUUCGUCUCUUUGCCCUUACGCGCGCGACUCUUACGACCUCUGUGCUGCUCUGGUGCGGGGCGGUAUUACGUGCCUCCGAGCCCCGCACCAUUCACGCUGGCUGUACCGUCGCCGUCUCGCUCUCUCAAGCCCUCGUCCUUGCCUGGCACACACACUGCAAGUAACACUCGCAGUGGGUUUUAUAACCCAUAUAUAUAUAUAUCUGCACAUACUGACAGAAAACGUAGAGGCGCUUGCGUCCUUCGCCGAAACGUGCACAGACGUGCUCCACUUACAUACAGCACACGCGUUGUCCACACCUAAAGGAUUACGUGAAUACGUCGACACAGACACGCACGCAGUGAAGACAAUGGUCGACCUCUACGCCGUGCUGGAGGUGGACAAGCGCGCGACGCCGGAGCAGAUCAAGCGGAAUUACCGCCGCCUUGCCCUGCGCUACCACCCCGACAAGGCGGGUCCAGAAGGCGCUGCCCGCUUCAAGGAGGUGAAUACCGCCUAUGAGGUUCUCUCCAACCGGCAAAAAAAGGAAAUUUACGACCGCUAUGGCGAGGCCGGACUGGAGGCGCUGGAAAACCCGGUUGCGGGGGCUGCACUCGCCACCUUCGGCUCCACCGCGCCAGUCAUCAUCGCAAUCGCUAUCUCCUUCACCUGCGCUGUCAUGCUGUUGCUCUUUCUGGCGUUUUUGGUGUCGUUUGUGGACGGCCAGCUGCGCACGUGGAGCUACGUCAAGGUGUUCUCGCCGCUCUUUGUGUUGGACUUCUUGGUCGGCGUGCCGGCUCUUAUCCUCUUAGCGGUGUUCGCCAUCAUGUCGCCGCUCAGCCUGCACGCACAGUGCACGCUUCUCUCUCUACUGUGUGCCGUCGUGUUGACGAUUGUCAUCCCGAUCGCCAAGGACCGCAACGAGGCAGUCACCAGGGCUAGACGCACCGACUACGUCCAAUGGCGGUUGUGGCUUAUCCCCGGAUACCUAUUCUCCGUAUUUGCCUUCAUCGCUAUUGUGAUGACGUCACUGCCGACGGAGAGACGUAUUCUCGACCUCAAGUCUAUAGGAUUGGUGCACCUCGCGAAUUACACUCGCGUUGGCUUCGUCUUCGCCAUCUUGCAGGGGUGCUGCAUCGUUGUCUUCUUUGCCCUGGUGGCGUGCCGCGCUGAUGAGGUGAUCACCAUCAACUACUUCGUCGUCAUUGGUCUCCCGAUAUUUCUGCUGCUCACGCUCUUCCUCGUGAACCGCUUCAUGCUUACCUUGUUAAGCAGCUACAUCAGCGACGUGCCACCCGAGGUGGCGGCGGCGGCGGCAGCGCGUGAGCUGAACGAAAAUGGUGGCGAGGCGCCUGCGCCGCACCCCAACGAGGGCUGCGCCGAAGGCCCGCACUCGUCUUGGCGUCGAUCACCGAAUCCGAUGUGCGGUGGUGGCACCGAGGGACGCCGCCGCACCCAUCGACAACCGCGCGCCGAGACUGAAGAGCAGCUACACUCCAAUGACGCCCAAGCUCACAGCGACCGUGACGGCGAGGGAGGCGAGGAUGGAGAGCGGGCGCAGCAGAGUGUGUCACACAGCAAGAACCCGUACGCUGGCCAGCACGCCUCUGUUUGCGGAGUUCUCAUCAGCAUGAUUGUCGCGACUAUCCUCGUCGGCCUGCUGAUGGCGUCGACCGCCAUGAUAGCAGUGCGGCUGAACUACUACUCCAACCACGGCACCUAUGAUGGUGUCCUGUCCCUAUCCAAGGCAUGCAUUCCGCUCUUUAUUAUUAUCGGCAACGGUGUGCUCACGCAGCUCAUCGCGUGCCUUACAUUCUGCUGUUGCGGUGUCUUCAUGGUCGUAGAGGGCGCUGCGCCAGAGCCGGAACACGGCAACCAGCAGGAGGGCAAAGCGGGGAGCGAGGCCGAGCUGCAGAAUAACGUCCGCACCGACCCGGCUCGGCCGGCUGACCAGGCGGUAGCUGGUGCGACACACCAAAAUGAGGCCCCCAGACGUCGCCCGCCUGGAGCAAUUUCUGCCGCGCCUCCUCAUUCUGUAGCGGCGUCAGCGGACGAACAUCGCAAGACGCCGCGGGAGCGCCAGCCGGACAGCACGCGCCUCUCCGACGUUGAUUAGAAGUUGGCGCCCGCACUGCUGUCCCAUGAACGCGGCCUGGUGAAGAUGAGCGGGUGGGCGAUGGGGAGGAGGCACGUGAAGGAAGCCUUUUGCGCAGCGUCACGCCUUCCCACACUACCUCUACACCGCCGCCUCCGUUCCGUCACACUCCUUCCACUGGCCGCGUUUCCUCGAUCGCCUCUUUCCGCAGUAUAUGGACGCAGCAAGCUGUCUUGUGAGCAUGCGUGCCGUUUCGUUUUCCCCCUUUAAUUUAUACUCCCGGGUGUACGUGUACGUAAACGCAACGUGUGUGUGUGUGUGCCUCCCUGUGUUGUCCUCUCUCUUUCGCUUCCCCGCGAGAAGUAGGAGCAGCUCCCAAAGGUCCGCAGGCGUGCGCAUGCCGGCUGCAUGGGAGUUGUCGUCCCCGAAGGGGGCGUGGGGGAAAGGAUUUGGCUACACGCUGCCUGCGAAGUGGUGCACGCCCUCUUGUGGUUCUAUCACCCUUGUUAUUGCGGACGGAAGUGUGCCCAGAGCAAACUACGCGCCUCUUCACUCACGGAAACGGGAGGACACAAGGACACAAGAUUCGAGUAGAGCGACAGCUGCUUCGGGAGCCUGUCGAGGGAACCGCAUUGUGCGAUCGACCUAACGGAGAAAAGACUCUGUAUCCAAGAAGGGAAAGAAUAGAAACACACACACACACAAAAGCACACCACCAUGAAAAACAAAGACUUUGCGGUGGUGCUGUACCCUCCUCCCCUAUCCCCAUCCCUAUCCCCUCCCCUAUCCCCUGCCAAAUGCCGAGCCACCUCUGGCGCUGGCAGGGCGGUGCAUCGCUGCUGACAGCGGACCGCCAGGCCCUGGGCGGCGUGGCGUCCGGGUGAUCUGCAGCCGCGAACGCGCGUGUGCACUCUCCACAUGAUGGGCAGAGUGUCCGCGUGACUCGAACGCAUCCCACCCAUCCCCCUCUCCCCGCCCCCGGCCCUCGCACGGCCCACUGGUGUGGGGAGGCCUGAGCCGCCCCGAGGAGAGGGGGUGGGGG
rnacentral:misc_RNA from 1 species